UACAGAGGGUGCAAGCGUUGUUCGGAAUCAUUGGGCGUAAAGGGCGCGUAGGCGGCCUGGCAAGUGACGGGUGAAAGCCCUCGGCUCAACCGAGGAACUGCCUGUCAUACUGCCGGGCUUGAGUCCGGGAGAGGUGAGUGGAAUUCCCAGUGUAGCGGUGAAAUGCGUAGAUAUUGGGAGGAACACCAGUGGCGAAGGCAGCUCGCUGGAACGGUACUGACGCUGAGGCGCGAAAGCGUGGGGAGCAAACAGG
rnacentral:rRNA from 1 species